rnacentral:rRNA from 1 species
CGGGACGGGUGAGUAAUGUCUGGGAAACUGCCUGAUGGAGGGGGAUAACUACUGGAAACGGUAGCUAAUACCGCAUAACGUCGCAAGACCAAAGAGGGGGACCUUCGGGCCUCUUGCCAUCGGAUGUGCCCAGAUGGGAUUAGCUAGUAGGUGGGGUAACGGCUCACCUAGGCGACGAUCCCUAGCUGGUCUGAGAGGAUGACCAGCCACACUGGAACUGAGCACGGUCCAG